GACGAACGCUGGCGGCAUGCUUAACACAUGCAAGUCGAACGAGACCUUCGGGUCUAGUGGCGGAGGGGUGCGUAACGCGUGGGAAGUUGCACUUAGGUUCGGAAUCACUCACCGUAAGGGGAGCUCAUAACGCUUAAUGUCAUCGGACCAAAGAGUUUUCGCUUGUGGAUGGGGCCGGGUUGGAUUAGCCGGUUGGUAGGGGACAAGCCUACCAUGGCGACGAUCCGUAGCUGGUCUGAGAGGAGGAACAGCCACACUGGGACUGAGACACGGCCCAGACUGCUACCAGAGGCAGCAGUGGGUAAUAUUUGACAGGGAGCGAAAGCCAGAACCAGCAAUGCCGCGUGAGUGAUGAAGGGCUUAGAGUUGUAAAUCGCUUUUACCCGAGAUGAUAAUGACAGUACCGGUAGAAGAAGCGCCGGCGAACUCCGU
rnacentral:rRNA from 1 species